rnacentral:rRNA from 1 species
CCUACGGGAGGCAGCAGUAGGGAAUAUUGCUCAAUGGGCGCAACCCUGAAGCAGCCACGUCGCGUGGAGGAUGAAGGCUUUACGAUUGUAAACUUCUUUUGUUAGAGGAGAUUAUUACGGCAUCUAACGAUUUUUCACCGGCCAACUCCGUGACAGCAGCCGCGGUUAUAUGGCGGAUGCCAGGGUUACUCGGAUUCUCUGGGCGUAAAGCGUGCGUAGGCGGGGUAAUAAGUCAGUUGUGAAAUCCUGUAGCUUAACCGUAGAAUUGCAGUUGAAACUGGUACUCUGGAGUGUGGGCGAGGUAGGUGGAAUUCUUGGUGUAGCGGUAAAAUGCGUAGAGAUCAAGAGGAAUACUCAUUGCGAAGGCGACCUGCUGGAACGUUACUGACGUUGAUGCACGAAAGCGUGGGGAGCAAACAGGAUUAGAUACCCUAGUAGUC